CAAUAAAUCAGAGUGCUGUAUGAUCACCAUGGCAACUUGAGCUGAAAGAGUCUCUUACAACUGAAACAUUUGUUGGUUUGAGGAUGUCACAGAUGUUUUCUUGUGGUUGCUUUAGACUCAACUAACUACACAAUGAUUCAUCCUACAAAUUCUACUUGAUUUCUGGGAGGAAAAUGGGGGAGAUACUAUUUGCAUUCAGGGAUUGAUGGAUUCAUCCAUUUCUGGUUCAAUUCAGUUGUAUAUAUCUUCACUGAUAGGUUUCUCUAUCCUGUUGUGAAAUAAAUUUGCUGCUUCUGUUGUUCUGCUGUUGAUCGUAUUGCAUAAAGCUGAAUAUAUUAUUUUACAAACUACAUUUUAUAUGUAAUGUAAUGUAUCCUGUAAUGUUUUGAAUGAAUUUUAACUGAGACAUAUGUAAGUAUUAUUUUCAGAGAUGAUUUUUGAAUUAUAUCUCCUUAUUCAUGCUU